AAAGGCUUGCAACUAAAAAAACACGAGCGAUGCAGAGAAAGGGAAGGAGAGAAAAAAACAAAGCUUGCGAUACAGGGGAGAGACAGAGUUCAUGCGGCCGGCCAUCACCAUCCCUUCUUAGAUCUAGGUAUGAAAUAUGAAUUAGUUUUGAGAAUUUUGGUUGGAUUGAUUUUUAUUUAGGUAUUUGGGUUACAUUUGGUUUGGAUUUUAAAAGAGAAGAGAGAAAUUACUGAAAGGAUGCGUUGUUAAGGCACAGGGGAGAAAGACAGACAUCUCAGGGCCGGUACUACCGUCGGCCUCCAACCACAAGGAAACUUUAUUUCUUCUGCCGUCGUACCGCCAGAGCUAUUAUUGGGUGGAAAGGCCAAGCCUUUGAGGCAACCCAAAGUCUAAGAAGAAUGGGUACGUCGUUUACUUAUUUAGUUUCCAAACAAUGGUGCCUGUUCAUUUUGCGGAUUGAACAGUUUCAGUAUAUAUGUUUCAGACCCACAUAACUUUUCAUCCCUAAAGAUGCUGCCUAAACUAACAAUGCUUCAAUCAAAGCUAAAUAACUUCCCUUAAGCGUUAAUACCAAUUCAUUGCUUCAAACACCACUGUCUCUUAAAACCCAUAUUUCUUCUUCUUCGUUGCACAAUCUCAAUAAACACUUCAAAACCACAAAAAUCCCCACUCAAAUCUAGGAGACUGCCUCUCAUGGCAUUUACAAGGUCUGGUUGGGCAUUUACAAUGUUUGGUUAGAGGUCGUGUUCUCCUUUUUCUGCAAGCCAACAAAUGGGAUAUUCGAACAGAUCAAGAUUCAAGGACUAAGAUGGUUCCGUUGGAGAGAGGCUACGGUGAUUUUCUCUUAAUGGGAUUUCGCCAGAAUUAUCUGACUGUUGGGA